AUUUAUCAAACCUAUAUAGCAGAAAACCUUGUUCUGUUGCCGAUAGCAACCACAGCUGUAAAUAAAAUCUCUGAUUGGUUACAGUGGGUCCAGUCAUUCUGCUAAGCAGGUUUCCGUCUCCAGGUACGUGGAUCAGAAUGAACUAAGUGUUCCAUCUGACUCGCUGGAGGAGAUAUAUUGAGUUACAUUCAUUCUGCCCCAUAAUAUUGUGUGCCAUUUUUAGUGGAUUGUUAAAUAUGCCUAAGGCUAUUUUCACAUAUGUGUUUUUGCUUUCUGAUUUUGAGAUCCGGCAUGGGAUUUCAAAACCAUAUCAAAAUGCACUAGUUUGACUAAUACAACCGGCUGCAUCCAUUCAGAACGGAUCCGGUUGUAUUAUAUAUUGAAAAUGAAUAAACUGGAUCCGGCGCCUAUUGACUUACAUGGUUUUUGGUGCCAGAUCUGGCAUGAUCAGUUUCCCAUGCCGCAAACAAAAACGCUGCUUGCAACAGAUUUGUGUCCAGCAUGGGAACACAAGAAACCAGAACGGAAUGCAUUUUAGUGCACUCCAUUCCGGUUUGUUCAGUUUUGCUCAGGUUUUGAGAUCUUCUGCCAGAUCUCAAAACCAGAAAGGAAAACGCAGAUGCGAAAGUAGCCUAAAUCUCUGAUGCUGUUUUAGAAAGUGGGUAAGGGAAGUGACAAAA